UGGGGAAUAUUGCGCAAUGGGCGAAAGCCUGGCGCAGCAACGCCGCGUGAGUGAUGAAGGCCUUCGGGUCGUAAAGCUCUGUCGGAGGGAACGAAUGCUCCUGAAGUUAACAGCCUCAGGAGGUGACGGUACCCUCAAAGGAAGCACCGGCUAACUCUGUGCCAGCAGCCGCGGUAAUACAGAGGGUGCAAGCGUUGUUCGGAAUCAUUGGGCGUAAAGGGCGCGUAGGCGGCAUGACAAGUCACUUGUGAAAUCUCUGGGCUUAACCCAGAACGGCCAAGUGAUACUGUCGCGCUAGAGUGCAGAAGGGGCAAUCGGAAUUCUUGGUGUAGCGGUGAAAUGCGUAGAUAUCAAGAGGAACACCUGAGGUGAAGACGGGUUGCUGGGCUGACACUGACGCUGAGGCGCGAAAGCCAGGGGAGCAAACGGGAUUAGAUACCCACGUAGUCCCUGAGCGGGCUGGCAAGGCGCAU
rnacentral:rRNA from 1 species